GGGAAUUUAGCUCAGUUGGUUAGAGCAAACGACUCAUAAUCGUUAGGUCAAGGGUUCGAGCCCCUUAAUUCCCACCA
rnacentral:tRNA from 2 species